GGGGUUCUAGCUCAUCGGUAGAGCGCUCGCUUAGCAUCGUCCUCCUGAUCGGAAAUGUGCGAGAGGUACUGGAUUCGACUCCCAGGUACUCCA